rnacentral:rRNA from 1 species
AUACAUUGAUAACCUACCUUUGAGAUGGGGAUAACAACGUUUCGAGCAAUCGGAACUACCGAAAGGGUUGCUAAUACCCGAUAAUGCUAUUGGUGCUGUGGUAUUGAUAGCCAAAGCUAGGAAUCGAAAGAUUCCCUGUGCUUGAGGAGGGGUUAAUGUCCUAUCAGCUAGUUGGUAAGGUAAAGGCUUACCAAGGCUAAGACGGGUAGCCGGCCUGAGAGGGUGGUCGGCCACAUUGGGACUGAGACACUGCCCAGACUCCUACGGGAGGCUGCAGUCGAGGAUCUUUCGCAAUGCCCGAAAGGGUGACGAAGCGACGCCGCGUGUGGGAAGAAGGCCUUCGGGUUGUAAACCGCUGUUGGGAGUUAGGAAGUGUGGGAGUGUUAAUAGCGCUUCCACUUGACUAAAGCUCCAGAGGAAGCCACGGCUAACUCUGUGCCAGCAGCCGCGGUAAUACAGAGGCGGCAAGCGUUGUUCGGAAUUAUUGGGCGUAAAGAGCACGUAGGCGGCUCUGCAAGUCAGCUGUGAAAGCCUUCUGCUUAACGGAAGUACAGCAGUUGAAACUACAGGGCUUGAGUGCGGGAGGGGAGAGUGGAACUUCUGGUGGAGCGGUGAAAUGCGUAGAUAUCAGAAGGAACGCCGGCGGCGAAAGCGGCUCUCUGGUCCGCAACUGACGCUGAGUGUGCGAAAGCUAGGGGAGCAAACGGGAUUAGAUACCCCGGUAGUCCUAGCCGUA